GACGAACGCUGGCGGCGUGCUUAACACAUGCAAGUCGAACGGAAAGGCCCUGCUUUUGUGGGGUGCUCGAGUGGCGAACGGGUGAGUAACACGUGAGUAACCUGCCCUUGACUUUGGGAUAACUUCAGGAAACUGGGGCUAAUACCGGAUAGGAGCUCCUGCUGCAUGGAGGGGGUUGGAAAGUUUCGGCGGCUGGGGAUGGACUCGCGGCUUAUCAGCUUGUUGGUGGGGUAGUGGCUUACCAAGGCUUUGACGGGUAGCCGGCCUGAGAGGGUGACCGGCCACGUUGGGACUGAGAUACGGCCCAGCCCCCUCCGGGAGGCAGCAGUGCGGAUUAUUGCACUAUGGGCGGACGCCUGAUGCAGCAACGCCUCGUGCGCGAUGACGGCCUUCGGGUUGUAAACCGCUUUCGCCUGUGACGAAGCGUGAGUGACGGUAAUGUGUAAAGAAGCACCGGCUAACUACGUU
rnacentral:rRNA from 1 species